UGGGGAAUUUUGCUCAAUGGGGGAAACCCUGAUGCAGCGACGCCGCGUGAUUUAGAAGGCCUUCGGGUUGUAAAAAUUUUUUCUAUGGGAAGAAAAUGACAGUACCAUAGGAAUAAGGACCGGCUAAUUACGUGCCAGCAGCCGCGGUAAUACGUAAGGUCCGAGCGUUGUCCGGAAUCAUUGGGCGUAAAGGGUACGUAGGCGGGUAAGCAAGUUAGAAGUGAAAUCCUAUAGCUCAACUAUAGUAAGCUUUUAAAACUGCUCAUCUUGAGGUAUGGAAGGGAAAGUGGAAUUCCUAGUGUAGCGGAGAAAUGCGCAGAUAUUAGGAGGAAUACCGGUGGCGAAGGCGACUUUCUGGCCAUAACCUGACGCUGAGGUACGAAAGCGUGGGUAGCAAACAGG
rnacentral:rRNA from 1 species